UACGUAGGUGGCAAGCGUUGUCCGGAUUUACUGGGCGUAAAGAGCGCGCAGGCGGUCGUGCAAGUCGCGUGUGAAAGCCCCCCGGCUCAACUGGGGAGGGUCACGCGAUACUGUCACUCGAAGGCAGGAGAGGGAAGUGGGAAUUCCCGGUGUAGUGGUGAAAUGCGUAGAUAUCGGGAGGAACACCAGUGGCGAAGGCGGA
rnacentral:rRNA from 1 species